rnacentral:lncRNA from 1 species
GUUGUUCUCUGUGUCAGUUUAAUCUUUUCUUUCUUUUCAGAUGGGGAUAUUGGUUUUGAGACUUCACAACAGAGACUGUCUGAGGAAUUUUCUUUCCAGUGUGAGAGAGUUGAUCUCUUCACAGGAGAUAACCCCUAUUCCCUUUUAGAAGAAUUGUGGAAGCAAAGGGGGAGAUGUGAAGAAAACCAGGCCACGCCUUUACGUCACGUUGUCUUCAGGGACAGGGCAGCACUAGCUGAUUCAAGGAGCUGUGGAUACCAGGACGCUGGGAAAAUUGGGCACAUAAACACAUAUCUGAUUCCUUCACGAAAAGGAUUCCAUCGUGGUGAUGCCUUUGGAAAGAAUCUGAAGCUCGUUGCAAGCUUAUAUAAUCAUAAUAGAAACAAUGCAACAGAAAAUCAUGAUGAGGUUAUCAGCCGUGAGGAUGCUGUUACUCAUACCGGUUCUCAUACGGAAGGGAGUGCUUGUGGAGGUAAGCAUUGUCGGGAACGUGGGGGUCAUAAGCAAGCUCUCACUCCACAUCUGAAAAGUCAUGCUGUGGAAAAUCUCCCUUUGUUUUCUGACUAUGUGAAAGUUUUCACUGAGAAUUCCCACCUCUUUACACAUCAGAGGAUUUAUGCUGGAGAAAAACAGCAUGAGUGUAGUAAAUGUGAGACAGUCUUCACCCAGAAGCCCCCACUUGCUACUCCUUGCAGAGUUUCUGCAGGAGAGGAGCCCUAUAAGUGUAUGGAAUUUGGGAAGUCAAGUCACCAGAAAACUCGUAAUGAGGAAAAUUACUAUAAAUUCAGUGAAUACAGAAGAGCCUUUAUCCAGAAGUCUGAUCAGUUCAGACGCCAGAGAGACCAUCCUGGAGAAAAACCCUAUGAAUUCAGUGAAUGUGUGAAAAGCUUCUCACAGAAUUCAAACCUCAGCAUAAUUAAAAAAAAUCAUACUGGAGGGAAACACUUUGAAUGUACUGACUGUGGAAAAGCCUUCACAAGGAAAUCCACACUAAGUAUGCAUCAGAAAAUUCACACAGGAGAAAAACCCUAUGUAUGUGCUGAGUGUGGGAAAGCCUUUAUCCGGAAAUCCCAUUUUAUCACACAUGAAAGAAUUCAUACUGGAGAGAAGCCCUAUGAAUGCAGCAACUGUGGGAAAUCCUUUAUAAAAAAAUCACAGCUCCAUGUGCAUCAGCGAAUUCACACAGGAGAAAAUCCUUUUAUAUGUUCACAAUGUGGCAAGGUCUUCACUCACAAGACAAAUCUCAUUAUACACCAGAAAAUUCAUACUGGGGAGAGACCCUACAUAUGUACUGAAUGUGGGAAAGCCUUUACUGACAGGUCCAAUCUCAUUAAACACCAAAAAAUUCACACUGGAGAAAAACCUUAUAAAUGCAAUGACUGUGGAAAAUCAUUCACCUGGAAGUCACGGCUCAGAAUCCAUCAGAAAUGCCAUACUGGCGAGAGACAUUACCAGUGUCGUGAGUGCGGGAAAGCCUUCAUUCAGAAGUCCACACUAAGUAUGCACCAGAGGAUUCACAGAGGAGAGAAGCCCUAUGUGUGCAGUGAGUGUGGGAAGGCCUUCUUCCACAAAUCCCAUUUUAUCACACAUGAAAGAAUCCACACUGGAGAGAAACCCUAUGAAUGCAGCGAUUGUGGGAAAUCCUUCACCAAGAAAUCACAGCUCCACGUGCAUCAGCAGAUUCACACAGGAGAGAAGCCCUACAGGUGUGCUGAAUGUGGAAAGGCCUUCACUGACAGGUCCAAUCUCUUCACACACCAGAAAAUUCACACCGGAGAGAAACCCUAUAAAUGUAGUGACUGUGGAAAAGCCUUCACUCGAAAGUCAGGCCUCCACAUACAUCAGCAGUCCCACACUGGAGAAAGACAUUACGAGUGCAGCGAAUGUGGGAAAGCCUUUGCCAGAAAGUCAACACUAAUUAUGCACCAGAGAAUUCACACUGGAGAGAAACCCUAUGUUUGUACUGAAUGUGGGAAGUCCUUCAUCCAGAAGUCACACUUAAAUAGACACAGGAGAAUUCACACAGGAGAGAAGCCCUAUGGGUGCAGCGACUGUGGGAAGUCUUUCAUUAAGAAGUCACAACUCCAUGAGCAUCAUCGAACCCAUACAGGAGAAAAACCGUAUGUAUGUGCUGAAUGUGGAAAGGCCUUCACCAUCCGAUCAAAUCUUCUUAAACACCAGAAAAUUCAUAGUAAACAGAAACCCUACAAACGCAGUGACUUUGGGAAGGCCUUUCACUGGAACGUGCAGCUCACAAGUCAACACAGUGUACCUCAGAAGUCUGAUGCUGGGGAGGUGGAGUGCCCAGUGCCGCAAUCAUGGUGUGGGGGUACGAAUAAACAAGAGGCCACAGCUUGACCAAGAAGCAGGAGGUGACCAAGACCCACCCACUGCCUCUGUCUAGUCAGAAUUAUGGAUAUCUGCUUCACAUAGUGGAUGUCCACGACACGUCCAGGAAGAUACUUUGGAGGAAGUGUUUACACAAUGUACUGUGGCCAGGCUUGGUUACUGGACAGAUUGUCAGGCCCCUGAAAAUCACAGUGAAGAUGAAGCCAGAGGCAUGGUGCAUGCCUCUAAUCCCAGCUACUUGGGAGGCUGAAGAAGAAGGAUCAGAUGGGAGGAUCGCUUGAGCCCAGGAGUUUGGGUCCAGCCUGGGCAACAUAGCAAGAUCCUGUGUCCACAAAAACAAAGGAAAAAAAAAAAAAGAAAAGGUGGCUUACAAUCUUUCUCAUUUCACUUUUUUUGAUAAGCAGCUAUCUAAACUCAGAGCUGUUGAAUUUCUCAUGCCCUGGGUAGCAAAACUUUAAUAUUGUCCAAAAAAAUAUUUCAUAAGGAGUAGAGUGGCGAGAAAAUUUUUCAUUGUCUUAGUCCCCAAAGGACACCAAAAUCAGGAUGGAAAUCAACCAAUUCAGGUCUGCAAUGAAAAGAAAUUAGAAGCUUUUGUGAAAAUUGAUACUAAAGAUACAAAGAAAGGACUCAACUCUCACCCCCCUUUUGGAAAUCACUACUAGUUGUUGUUCAUAGCAGUUAUUGCGUGUGCCUUGUUAGUAGCUUCCAGGAGGCCUAAAACGGGCUCCCAGUCUGUAUCUCUGAAGCAGUCAGUGAUGCAAGCAGCAGUCCUAUGACUGUUUCACAGCUGGGGCCAGGGUCCUGGAGCAGCACAGGGACCCAGACUUAGAUAACAGCACUUUGGAGCCUCAACUUUGUUUAUAGAAAACUGCACUUUCUUACUGAUUCCUGUUUGAAAAAGAGACAAAUUAAGGAAAAAAUCUGUUUCAAAACCUAGAAUACUUUCUCUCCGAUUUUGAUAGUGUAUUCUCUACAUAUUAAUUAUGUACUAGGUUACCAUGAGAUAUAAUUGUAGUUUGUUAUUUUAGGAGAUAAAAUAUAGUUAAACAUUUGGAAAAGUACUCCUAUUCUUUCCCAUUCUCUACAAAUUAAUCUUAUUUUAUCAGACAAUAAAAGAAGUGCAUCAUGAUCUUCCAGAAUAAUUAUGAAUUUGUCUCUUUUAGAGAUACUGAUUUUUACUUUAUAUUUUGAAGUGUUUUACAUGCAUUGAAAUUUAGAAUUGUUAUGGUUUUCUUAGUUAAUUGAAACUUUAACAUUAAGUAGUGUCCCUUUUUAUCUCUGAUGAUGCUUUUUGAUUUAAAAUGUCCUAUGCCAGAUAUUAAUACAAUGUAGUAACUCCUGUAUUAAAGGCCAGAGUAAAUGAGUGCCGCUACCACUCCUCAAGGGGAGGAGUUAGAACAUGACCUCCAGGUGUUCCCUUCUUCACCUACAUAUCCCCAUGUGGUGCAUCUGAAGUCUGCGUGUAGUUGCCGUAGUCAAUCAUUCUUGUUUCAGAACCAUAUGCAUUUAAGUUAACCCAAAUGUUUACCCUUUUCGUUACUUUUUUCUUUUUAUUCUUUUAUUCUCCCCCGGAGUCAGUUUUUUUCUUGUUUCUGAACACUCUUUAGUGUUUCUUUUAGUGUGAAUUUGCAGAUAACAAAUUCUGUUUUUAUUUGUUGCAAAUAUCGUUAUUUUGGCUUUUUAAAAAAAUUGCUUUGGUGCUGAGGAUUGAACCUAGGGCCUUGUGGAUGCUAAGCACUGGGCCGUAUGCCCCGCCCUUGCCUUUAUUUCUGAAGGACUUUUAGAGGGAAUGGACUUCUAAGUUGGCACUUGCUGUCUAUUCAUAUUUUGGAAUACUUAAUUAUGUUCUGUCUUCCAUUGAAAAGUAAGUGGUCAAUUUAAUUACUUUUGAAGUACCUGGUCCUUUUUUCUCUGUUUCCUUUAAAUUUUAUCUUUUAUUUUUAACAGUUGUACAUUAUCUCUAGAUAUGAUCUCCUAUAUAUUUAUCCUGCUUGGUUUUUGCAGUGAUUUUUAAAAUAUGUGGGUAAAUGGGGUUUGUGUGUGCACGUGCUCAUGUGUGUGUGCGAGUAUGUGCGUGCAUAUGUAUGUGCGUGCAUAUGUAUGUGCAUUUUGGGAAUUCCUAGCUGUUAUCUGUUCACAUUAUGCAUCUGCUUCAUUUCCUUGCUUCUUCUAGGGGUAGCCCCAUUUUCUAAAUCCCCUAUUGACCUAUUUUUGUUAGUUGUUUUUCUUGGGUUUUGGUGAUGUCUUGUCUUCUCAUAUAUCUGGUGAGUUUAUUUUUAUUUUUUUAUUUUUUAGGUUCUGGGAAUUGAACUCCCAGGGGCACUUAACCACUAAGCCACAUCCCCAGCCCUUUUUAUUUUGAGACAGGGUCUCAUUAAGUUAAUUAGGACCUCACUAAGUUGCUGACCUUGACCUCAAACUUGUGAUCCUCCUGCCUCAGCCUCCUGAGUCACUGGGAUUACAUGUGUGUGCCAUCAAGCCUGGCUAUCUGGGGAUUUUUUAAAUCAGUUGUCAGAUUCUGUAUACUAAAAUUAUAGAGAUAAGAUGGUCUGGGUGAUAUCUUCUUCCAGAAGGAAUCUGUCUUUUGCUUCUAGCAGGGUGACUGAGCUAGGGAUAUUAGCAAUUACUACCUGCCUUCAUCCAAUCAUGUGUUGAAAUAAUUUAAAACUGGCCUUAGUCUCUCUAACAGUUUGUGUUUUUUUUUUCUCCCUUAUUUCUAGGAUAUACUUUUAGGACUUAAAACUGUGGGAAGUUUAUUAGGACCUUCUUCCUUGGAAGGAUCUGAAUUCAAGUAUUUGUCUUUGUUUUCAUGAAUUUGUCAAAAGUCUCUCCAGCCUCUCUUGCCCAGUAUUUACUAAAAGAAUUGGCUAAAACCUUUCCAUAAUAAACAAUCCCAAAUUCCAGAUAGUAUGUCUUAUCUCUAAUUUUAUUUUUGCAAUUUCUCACUGUUUUGUAGCUCUACUAAUUUUCAGAAAUUAAGUAUGUUUAGUAUUUUCUUCCAUGUAUUUUUAGUUCUCAAAAGGGAGUAGUGAGCUGGGCUCUACGGCACACACCCAUAGGAGUUAAGCAGGAGGAUCAUGAGUUCAAAGCCAGCCUCAGCAAUGGUGGAGCACUAAGCAACUCAGUGAGACCUGUCUCUAAAUAAAAAACAAAAUAGUGCUGGGGAUGUGGCUCAGUGGUCAAGUGCCCCUGAGUUAAAUCCCUGGUACCAAAAAAAAAAGGGGGGUGGGGGAACAGUGAUAUGUACCACUUACUCUGCCACUGGCAGAAAAUUUCAGUUGGCUGCUUCUAUGUAAGGAGUUUGGAGUCAAUAAAUACAUAAACAAAUAAAUAAAUAAAUAAAUAAUCAGUCCUUUUUCUAAAAGGGAUUGAAACCAGGGGCACCUUUCCACUGAGUUACAUCUGGACCCUUUUUUUAAUUUCUUGAGACAGGGUCUCUUAGCUAUCAUGCCUAGCUAAAUAUAUUUUUAAAUUACCAAAAUUACUUACUUAAAAAUGAAAAUGUUCUAGUUUACAAUAUUCCUUUUUUCUUGUUAAGGACUUUUUAAAGUUGUGACAUAGAAGAGAAUGUUACCUGUGUUGGUAUCAGUUUUAUUAUGAUAGCUUCCAAACUUCAACAGUAGGAGAAGAUUAACUGAAACUUCUCAGGUGUUUUCUUUUUAAAAUAUUUUUAGUUGUAGUUGGACACAAUACCUUUAUUUUUAUUUGUUUCUAUUUUUCUGUGGUGCUGAGGAUGGAACCCAGCACCUCUCAAGUGCUAGGGGAGCGCUCUACCGCUGAGCCACUGCUUCAGCCCUCAGAUGUCUUCUUUAAUACUAUGAUUUUCCUUUGCAUCAUUAUUUGAAAAUGAUGUUAAUGGAGACUGGCCCUAGAGCCCUGGGAUUUUAAAAUAAGAAUUUCAAGAAUUAAUUUAAUAGGAUUACUGAGAUUGUGAUUCUCAACCUUUUUUGUGCUCAGGCAUAGUUUAAAACAUAAAAUUCUACACCCCCAACUUGGGGAGUGGGCAGGACAAAAAAAAAAAAAAAAAAGCUACUUUGCCUUUUGUCAACACAGUAUUAGUCUCCAGGAGAAAGGAAGGCUUCCUUUUGUGGGGCUCCUUGCAUCCCUGUGGAGGGAAUGAUGGAAACCCGUGAGUGGACAGGACAGCUGGCUCUGAAGUAGAACUGAGGUGAGUGCAAGCACACAGGGCUGGCCUCCCCUGGGGGUCCUGUGGUGACCAGGCCUCUUCACACCAGCAUGCACUGGAGCUCCUCUGUGGUGACAGCAAAACUAUUUUUAAAAGUUUUACAAUUUAUAAAGUUUUUAAUAAACGUGCCUUUUAAUGUUUCAGAGAGGAACCUCAUGCUGUGAAUUCAGUAAGUAUAGGAGAUGUGCACUCCAACCAACAAUUAUAAAUCGGAUAGUUCAUAGGGCAGAGUGGCUGGCUGUCUGUACUGACUGUGAAUAGGGUUGCAUUCACAAGUCCCCCUUCCUUACAUAUCAGAGUAGUCAUGCUGGAGAGCAGCUUGGGGAAUAGACAACAGUGGGAAAUCCUCCAGGGGAAAGUCAACGAGUUCCUACAGAAGCAAAGUCUUCCGGUAGAAGCAAAAAACACGAGAAAUAGAAUUCAUGUUUACUAAUUUAAGUCAGAUUAUAAAGUGGUCUGUAUAAUUUGUGUACCUUUUAUGUCUUUUGAAAAAAAUGAUUGUUUUCUUGGACAUGAAUGGACACUUUCACAGUGUCAGACACAGUCUGCUAAACCAACAAGCAAUUUUAGUGCUCCUAUCUCUACUGACUUCUUUAUCAUCUUUUGAGGCUGGGAGUAGCUGAGUGACUUGCCUCAAGCCAAGAGAAGCAAAACACUAGUGGGUGUGUCCCGGGAAAACCUUUGCUUUCCCAAGAAAAGGGACAAAUGUAACUGCUGCCAUCAGUUCUACUGUUCUUCCUGAUGGUUAGUUACAUGGUUCCUGCUGUAUGGACUACCUUCUUUCAAACACUGGUAAAGACCAAAAGAAUCACAGAGACACUGGGUCAUGUAUUAUCUGUUCAACACUAGCAGCAACUGACUGCCAGUCCAGACUUUAAUUAUGUUAUAAAAAUAUAUUUUGGGCUGGGGAUGUGGCUUAAGCGGUAACGCACUCACCUGGCAUGCACCGGGUGCUGGGUUCGAUCCUUAGCACCACAUAAAAUAAAAGAUGUUUUGUCCACCGAAAACUGAAAAAUAAAUAUUAAA